rnacentral:rRNA from 1 species
UACGUAGGGUGCGAGCGUUGUCCGGAAUUACUGGGCGUAAAGAGCUCGUAGGUGGUUUGUCGCGUUGUCCGUGAAAACUCACAGCUUAACUGUGGGCGUGCGGGCGAUACGGGCAGACUGGAGUACUGCAGGGGAGACUGGAAUUCCUGGUGUAGCGGUGGAAUGCGCAGAUAUCAGGAGGAACACCGGUGGCGAAGGCGGGUCUCUGGGCAGUAACUGACGCUGAGGAACGAAAGCGUGGGGAGCGAACAGG